rnacentral:rRNA from 1 species
GAUGAACGCUAGCGGCAGGCCUAAUACAUGCAAGUCGGACGGGAUUUGGGAGCUUGCUCCUGAUGAGAGUGGCGCACGGGUGCGUAACACGUAUGUAACCUACCUUUACCUGGGGGAUAGCCUCUCGAAAGAGAGAUUAACACCGCAUAACAUUACGUUAUAGCAUUAUAGUGUAAUCAAAUAUUUAUAGGGUAAAGAUGGGCAUGCGGAACAUUAGCUAGUUGGUAAGGUAACGGCUUACCAAGGCUACGAUGUUUAGGGGAUCUGAGAGGAUGGCCCCCCACACUGGUACUGAGACACGGACCAGACUCCUACGGGAGGCAGCAGUAAGGAAUAUUGGUCAAUGGGCGGAAGCCUGAACCAGCCAUGCCGCGUGCAGGAAGACGGCCCUAUGGGUUGUAAACUGCUUUUGUACCGGAAUAACCUCUUUACGUGUAAAGAGCUGAAUGUACGGUAAGAAUAAGGAUCGGCUAACUCCAUGCCAGCCGCCGCAGUAA